UCUCUCUCUGUGUCAAAAAUAAAUUCUAAAAAAAAAAUUUUUUUUUAAUUAAAAAAAAAAAAGAAUUAGGUCAUAUGCCAGUCCUGUCUUCCAGUUCCCUGUAUAGCAAAUACCAUUCAUUGACUAACCCAAAAGAUUCUUUGCCCCCUCCAAAGUAGGAAUGAGAUAAACUGAAUACUUAUUUUCUCAGCUCCCCUUGCAACUAGGUUUGAACUUCUGACCCAAUUAUGGGCAGUGAGAUGGAUAGAAGUAUGCUGGCAAUCCACUUCUGGAAAUCACUUGCUUUUCCUGUAAGAAGGAAUUAGAAGACAGAGGAAGAAAUGAGAGUUGGCCCACAUUCGGAUUAAUUAAAGUUUACCUGGUAAAAGAAGAUGAAGCAACAACAGCACAUGGACUCAAGCCCCUGUAGGUGAAGAAAGGUGACCAGAGGAGUGUGGUGGAUGAAGCCGGACCACAGGAAAGCAGCCAGGCAGUCUGGAAGCUCCAUUAUCCGGUAUGUUGCAGACAUCUACCCCUCAAAUACUCAGUCAAUGAUUUAUUUAAUUGGGUCUCAGAGAAACUGGUUUUAUAAUAUGCAAACAACUUUAUGUUCAAAAUAAGACUUUUACCGUAUGUGCUGGAAGAGAAAUACAUUUAGAAACACCUUUCAUUUUUAAGCUAGAUAAUACAUGAAUGCCUCACUAAGAGUUGAUGUAGCUUACCUGGAUAUAUAUUUACAACGCCUUCCUCAAAAUAUUUUUUAAAAAUCUGUUGGGUUUUGCUUUUCUGAGCAUUCCACAUCUAUAAAACAUUUCAUAAUUUUCUCCAGUGCUAGUUAAGAAUAUACUUUAUAAUUGAACAGACUUAAGUUUUAGUUUUGGUUCUGCUUCUUACCAAGUGGGAGAAUUACUUUGCCUCUCUGAGCCUUGGUGCUCAUUUAAAAGGGAGAUAAUGAUAGCGUUCACCGAUCUGAUAUGCUGAGAGGAGUACACGCGUAAGCAUGUGUCAGGUGCUCAGAAACAUUUCAGGCAUUGCACUCAAUUACCCGACACGUUGUAAUGUGUAUACAUUCAGGCAUUAAUCAGCAAACAUUGUCAGCCAUCCCCUGCGUGGUAGGGCAUGUGCUCGACAUGCUGCAAUGAACUAGGCUCUCAUAACCCAGCUCUUUAUGUGACAUUCCUCCUGGGGUGCCCAGGAAGUUAGACCCACAGCAUCUGGUGCAUUCCUCUAACAGAGUACUCAGUACUUUGGGUUGUACUUUAAGUCCACCCACCAGAUAGAUCCUAAGCAGCCCUUGACUGUCUAUGUCAUAGUGCUGACAUAUACACAUCAAGGGCUCAAUGUAUUUGUUGCACAGGAAUGCAUUGUGACCAACUUUGGAUAUAACAUUUCAAAAUAAGGUAUUUGGAACUCUUAGCCCCCAGGCAAUUAAUACUUUAUAAACUACUCACAAGUAAUAUGGACCCAGGGGAUCUAUCUAUUCUAACUAGAAGUACUUUAGAAAUUAGCUGGUCCGAAGAGCCUCAGACACAAAUCCCCUUCAUAGAAGGUCUGCCAUGCCCACAGAAGCAACUGGGAUUAGGAAAGCUCUCCUGCAGUGGUUGUUGGGUGGCAGUUUGUAGACUGCCUCUACUUACCUAGAUACAAAUCCUAGAAUGUCUGUGCCUGUGAGCUCAUCAAGUCGUCUGCUCCAAACCUCUCAUUUUGCAAACAAAACCUCAAACCAGAAAGAUUAUAUGAAUACACCGAGCAAGUGUUGGGGCAUCAUGGAAAACAAGCCUCUUUGGCUCCCAGUCUAGUGCUUCUCUUUCCUGUGUUUGGUUACAUCCACAAAGCCUCCAUGAAUGAUGGAUCAUAGCCAUUGUCUGUGAAUUUUUCUUCUCCACAGCCAGUGAAGGAAGAGUUCUCAAUUUUUAUCCCUGAUCCCAGGUUCCAGCUGUACCUCUUGGGCUUAGGUUGACAAAGGAGGUUAGGGAAGAAGGCUCACGAGUCACACUUUAAAACCAACAGCCACGAUGAACGACUUCUGGCAUGGGUGUAGCUGCAUGCAUUAUAACAACCUCCCAAAAGUCGUCAAAAAUCGCUGCCCAUUCCAAUGCCUGGAACCUCAUAAGUAAAGAGAGACCUGCUUCUUCAAAUUAAUGGAAAUGUGAGCCCCCUCAGUCACUGCUACAAUCAUGCAGUCUUCCUUUCUGCCAGUGAGCAGUGAAAACACUUCCCUCUGAGGCUGCUUGUUAGACAAAUUACCUCUGUUGUGCAUAUGGCUGAGCAAGGUUGUUGGGUCCUCUAAAUUCCUUGAGUAGACCAAAGCAUCUCCUGAGGGCCACCCCAGACAUCACUGCAACGCCAAUAUUAUCCCUGGCAAUCUUUGCCUUACUGGUCCGCAAGACGCACUGGAGUGUGAGAGGAGGCAAGAGCAGGGAUUCCAAAGACUGCUUACUUUCAGUUAAACCAUAUGGCCUAUCCUGUUGUCUCAUUUAUAAGAAACCAUUUUCAAUUCUAAAGUUUCAAUUAAUAAAAUCCAAACUGCUAUCAAUUUCCCACAAACGGAGCAGCCUGCGGCAGAUUUCAUCAGGCGCCUCGUCUUUGCCUUUCCCAUGAGCUUAGAGUGUCGCCUAGUGGGAAGAAUGUGAAGUAGCACUUGAUAAUAUUCCCGUAGAGGAAAAAACUACCAGGGGAGAUGUCAGGAAGGCAACUAAUUGAAAAUACCAACAGUCUUGGUAUUUGGCUGCUGUUUUACCGAUUUGUCAGAGCUAAAGUAGAUACGUUCGAAGCUUUAUCUCAACUGUCUAUGUCAUCUAAGAAAGUGUACUACCCGAAUGAGGGUAUUCAUCCCAUUAGAUGUCAACUAGCAUAAAGAAGAGUGUAUUCCAUUUCCCUCCACAUUUACCGUAGAAUUCUUUCAUGAAUGUUUGUUUAACUUCAUAAAACAGGAACAUGAAAUUGACCCUCGCCUUUCCCAUUUUUAUAUCUGAAAUUCGAAAAAGGCAUUAUCAACUGUUUUUGAAUUUCAAUAAACUUUUUAAUUUAUUCAUUU